GCUUGUAUAGCACAGUGGUAGUGCACCUCUUUGGUAAAGAGGAGGUCGCGGGUUCGAUUCCCUCUACAAGCA
rnacentral:tRNA from 1 species